CGCGUUGGCCCAAUUGAUUGAUGGUGCUUGCACCUGAUUGAUUUUGGUCGCCAACGAGUGGCGGACGGGUGAGUAACACGUAGGUAACCUGCCCAGAAGCGGGGGACAACAUUUGGAAACAGAUGCUAAUACCGCAUAACAGCGUUGUUCGCAUGAACAACGCUUAAAAGAUGGCUUCUCGCUAUCACUUCUGGAUGGACCUGCGGUGCAUUAGCUUGUUGGUGGGGUAACGGCCUACCAAGGCGAUGAUGCAUAGCCGAGUUGAGAGACUGAUCGGCCACAAUGGGACUGAGACACGGCCCAUACUCCUACGGGAGGCAGCAGUAGGGAAUCUUCCACAAUGGGCGCAAGCCUGAUGGAGCAACACCGCGUGAGUGAAGAAGGGUUUCGGCUCGUAAAGCUCUGUUGUUAAAGAAGAACACGUAUGAGAGUAACUGUUCAUACGUUGACGGUAUUUAACCAGAAAGUCACGGCUAACUACGUGCCAGCAGCCGCGGUAAUACGUAGGUGGCAAGCGUUAUCCGGAUUUAUUGGGCGUAAAGAGAGUGCAGGCGGUUUUCUAAGUCUGAUGUGAAAGCCUUCGGCUUAACCGGAGAAGUGCAUCGGAAACUGGAUAACUUGAGUGCAGAAGAGGGUAGUGGAACUCCAUGUGUAGCGGUGGAAUGCGUAGAUAUAUGGAAGAACACCAGUGGCGAAGGCGGCUACCUGGUCUGCAACUGACGCUGAGACUCGAAAGCAUGGGUAGCGAACAGGAUUAGAUACCCUGGUAGUCCAUGCCGUAAACGAUGAGUGCUAGGUGUUGGAGGGUUUCCGCCCUUCAGUGCCGGAGCUAACGCAUUAAGCACUCCGCCUGGGGAGUACGACCGCAAGGUUGAAACUCAAAGGAAUUGACGGGGGCCCGCACAAGCGGUGGAGCAUGUGGUUUAAUUCGAAGCUACGCGAAGAACCUUACCAGGUCUUGACAUCUUGCGCCAACCCUAGAGAUAGGGCGUUUCCUUCGGGAACGCAAUGACAGGUGGUGCAUGGUCGUCGUCAGCUCGUGUCGUGAGAUGUUGGGUUAAGUCCCGCAACGAGCGCAACCCUUGUUACUAGUUGCCAGCAUUAAGUUGGGCACUCUAGUGAGACUGCCGGUGACAAACCGGAGGAAGGUGGGGACGACGUCAGAUCAUCAUGCCCCUUAUGACCUGGGCUACACACGUGCUACAAUGGACGGUACAACGAGUCGCGAACUCGCGAGGGCAAGCAAAUCUCUUAAAACCGUUCUCAGUUCGGACUGCAGGCUGCAACUCGCCUGCACGAAGUCGGAAUCGCUAGUAAUCGCGGAUCAGCAUGCCGCGGUGAAUACGUUCCCGGGCCUUGUACACACCGCCCGUCACACCAUGAGAGUUUGUAACACCCAAAGUCGGUGGGGUAACCUUUUAGGA
rnacentral:rRNA from 1 species